CAGGGACCCCACUUUGAGAACUGCUGACUAGAAAACAUGUCACCACUUUUAGGGGUCUGUCCCCUCAGCUGUCACCCUCCUCUCUCCGAUUGCCAGGGCCAUGCCGUGGGAGCCGGGGUCCCAGUUCUGUGUGAGCAACUGUUGGGUUGAGCUUUAUUGCUCUUAUCCAUCCUGAUUUAUCAGACCCUUUCGAAAAGGAAGUUCGUGGGUGCCAACGCACCUGUGUGGGCCCUGCAUUCCAGGAGCUGUUGUCACGUCCUCUCUCCCCUCCCCCGGGUGUGGCAUCUCUCUUUACUUGGACUUUCCUUUCUAGAAGGGAGGGCCAGGCCAGAGCUUCCUGGAUCUCCUAAGUGGAAUUUGCUCUGAGGCCUGCGUCACAAGUGCGCCUGGGUUGUGUAAGGCAGGAAUGUGGAAAAUAGUUAGAAUUUGAUAAAAGCAUUGUGGAGGAGGGGCACCCUCUCACUCCGAGGGCUGUGCCGGCCACAAGCUUGUUCGCAGCGCCUGAAUUUCAGCCUUUCUGGAGAAGCAUGAAGCCCAGAGAAACAGCACAGAGAAGAGUUUAUAUUCCUGUUUCUUCAGUUUGAAGACUGAACCCUAAUCUCAUUUCUCUCCAUCAUGCCUCCCCACCCCCAAAUCCUCAAGCUAAAGCUGAUCAAGAUCUACGUGUGGAAUGAAAAGCUAGUCCCGUGCCUGGGAGAAUUCAUACUCAGUGAGUUAGGGAGAUAAGCGAGGUCUCUUUCAGUCUAAAGAAAACCUGCUUGUUUCUGGCAAGUGCCAGUGGGAAAUUUCAGAAUGGAGCAGGGUGUGCCCGGCAGCCUUCUGGAUCAGAGAGGUUUUGCCUGUGUUCAGAGGUGAAGGUGUUUCCCACACAGCUGAAGAGCGUCAAGCAGGCUUGACCCUGUGGCCAGGCUGACCCCUGCGCUCUCCUUGGUGUCGUCAGCCUGAGGAUCUGGAACAGCUCUGGCCCCGGGUCAGUGUGCUUGAGCAAAUGAGGGCGAGCCGUCAGCAUCUGCGUAGUUCCGAGGCCGAGCGCAAGGCAGCACAGCUCUGCCCGGCCUGGCGAGGGGCGACCCAGCCCGAUGGCGCAGCCCGUGCCGCCGAAACGCAGGACACGUGAAAUAUAUUCAGUCUGAGCAAGACGCAGGCUGCUCUGUGGAGACUCUGCUGCCAGCCCUCUCUUGAGACGGAGGUUGAGCAGGGCAACUGGGUAGAUGUGUGCCUCACCUGGACAGAAAAUGGGAGAUAAGCAGGUAACAGGUAUGGCGUAUUAACCAGGUGCCAGCAUGCCGCUAAGCUUGUCGCCUGAAUUCCCUGGUUAAGUCCUCCCACGACCCCGGGCUGGGUGCUGUUCCCAUCAUCAUUUCAAGGUGAAGGAACCGAGGCCCAUAUGGGUUGAGUGGGUUGCCCAUAAUCAUUCAAUUAACCAUCUCUCCUGCACGUCCCAUUUCACGGGGCUUGUGGUGAGGUCCCUAAACCUGCCUUUUUAAAGAGCACCUGUGGCUGCUUUUGGCCUGAGGCAGGUUGGGAAACGCCGCACUUUCUGGAAAAGUGUGGACUCAUUAUGGAAGGCGAUUCUGCUGUUCUGAGGGCUGUCCCCUCCUUGCCUGCUGCAGCCCCUCAGAAGCCCUGGGGCCACUCCUGCCCCUCAGACAGGCUCCCCUCGGGUGUCCCGCAUCGCCUGGACACUCCGGUGGAAAGCGAGCGGGUGGCAUGUGCUGGGCGUUGGUUGCAGUUCAUUUUCCUCCCUUUCAGAAGCCCCGUUUGUCUCCCACCGCGUCUGUUUGUGCUGGUUCUUAAGUUCUGAUAAUUGUGUCUUUUAUCCCUUUCCCUUCCCUCCU
ensembl:lncRNA